AAUGAGGUGCCUGAAAAAAAGGUCUAUUUUGAUAGAAUAAUUUAUGUACGUCGUACCUUCAUUA
rnacentral:tRNA from 1 species